rnacentral:rRNA from 1 species
UACGGAGGGUGCGAGCGUUAAUCGGAAUUACUGGGCGUAAAGCGCGCGUAGGCGGUUUGAUGAGUCCGUCGUGAAAGCCCUGGGCUUAACCUGGGAACUGCGGUGGAUACUGUCGGGCUAGAGUGUGGUAGAGGGGAGUGGAAUUUCCGGUGUAGCAGUGAAAUGCGUAGAGAUCGGAAGGAACACCAGUGGCGAAGGCGGCUCCCUGGACCAACACUGACGCUGAGGUGCGAAAGCGUGGGGAGCAAACAGG